UACUGGUAGGACUGUAACGAUGAGUUCAUGUUUUGGGUCUUCCGCAUGUUGGCCGAAGAGUACGUCUAGAAGACAUUUUCUUUUCCAUUGCCCGAUCGAGCCUAGUCAAGCCACUUUGGCUGGCCAACAAGGUCUUAUUCCAGCUCUAGGCGUACUGGGCCAGCGAGGACUUCCAGCAGGAGUCCUCGAAAAAUAAGACAAACUGGGGGCGAACCCCACAGCAUCUUCAACUAUGUAUCGCGGGGGAUCUUCCUCAAUCGACAUGCACAACAGGAAGUUAGAGGCAAAGCUUGAUCGGCAACCCAAGCAGAUAGAGUUGUUUGCCUGAUACUACAAGAAAAAGGAGGACAACGGCUGGAGCGGGCUGAGAGCGGUUGAGGUGGCGGAGACGUUUUAGAAGUUGAUGGAUGAUCAUCAACCUCAGUCCACCACCAUGACCACUGUACUCCCGUCGAAUUGGAGGCUUUGGUGGCGAUGACCGAGCAGUAGAUAUGGCUGGCUGCAGUUGGAAGCAAGAACAAGGGUCGAGUAUCUGGCCUUGGUUUUGAGGACCACGUCUCCACCGAACCUUCACCUCACCACCGCCACAACCAAACCCAGCCAUGGAGGACCGCAUCGGCCACCUCGAGACAAUGUUGGCCGAUUUGAUGGCCAUGAUGAGGGAGAUGCGGGCCAACUCGGGACCGCCACAGCCGAUCGCCCCCA